GUAGGUGAACCUGCGGAAGGAUCAUUACUGAGGGGGCUCGCCCCCGUCAAGAUACCACCCCUUGCAUUUCGAGCACCUUCUGUUUCCUCGGCGGGCUCGCCCGCCAAUGGGGACCACAACAAACCCACCUGUAGUUGCAGUAAACGUCUAAAAACAAAUAAAAUCAAAACUUUCAACAACGGAUCUCUUGGUUCUG
rnacentral:misc_RNA from 1 species